CUCAGGUGUUGUUGGGUAGGGGAGCGUUCUGUAAGCCUGUGAAGGUGUGUCGUGAGGCAUGCUGGAGGUAUCAGAAGUGCGAAUGCUGACAUAAGUAACGAUAAAGCGGGUGAAAAGCCCGCUCGCCGGAAGACCAAGGGUUCCUGUCCAACGUUAAUCGGGGCAGGGUGAGUCGACCCCUAAGGCGAGGCCGAAAGGCGUAGUCGAUGGGAAACGGGUUAAUAUUCCCGUACUUGGUGUUACUGCGAAGGGGGGACGGAGAAGGCUAUGUUGACCGGGCGACGGUUGUCCCGGUUUAAGCGUGUAGGUGUGUGUUCCAGGUAAAUCCGGUUCACUUUAACACUGAGGCGUGACGACGAGGCACUACGGUGCUGAAGCAACAAAUGCCCUGCUUCCAGGAAAAGCCUCUAAGCAUCAGGUAACAUCAAAUCGUACCCCAAACCGACACAGGUGGUCAGGUAGAGAAUACCAAGGCGCUUGAGAGAACUCGGGUGAAGGAACUAGGCAAAAUGGUGCCGUAACUUCGGGAGAAGGCACGCUGACACGUAGGUGAAGUGAUUUACUCAUGGAGCUGAAGUCAGUCGAAGAUACCAGCUGGCUGCAACUGUUUAUUAAAAACACAGCACUGUGCAAACACGAAAGUGGACGUAUACGGUGUGACGCCUGCCCGGUGCCGGAAGGUUAAUUGAUGGGGUCAGCGCAAGCGAAGCUCCUGAUCGAAGCCCCGGUAAACGGCGGCCGUAACUAUAACGGUCCUAAGGUAGCGAAAUUCCUUGUCGGGUAAGUUCCGACCUGCACGAAUGGCGUAAUGAUGGCCAGGCUGUCUCCACCCGAGACUCAGUGAAAUUGAACUCGCUGUGAAGAUGCAGUGUACCCGCGGCAAGACGGAAAGACCCCGUGAACCUUUACUAUAGCUUGACACUGAACAUUGAGCCUUGAUGUGUAG
rnacentral:rRNA from 1 species